rnacentral:rRNA from 1 species
GAUGAACGCUGGCGGCGUGCCUAAUACAUGCAAGUCGAGCGAACGGACGAGAAGCUUGCUUCUCUGAUGUUAGCGGCGGACGGGUGAGUAACACGUGGAUAACCUACCUAUAAGACGGGGAUAACUUCGGGAAACCGUAGCUAAUACCGGAUAAUAUUUUGAACCGCAUGGGUCAAAAGUGAAAGACGGUCUUGCUGUCACUUAUAGAUGGAUCCGCGCUGCAUUAGCUAGUUGGUAAGGUAACGGCUUACCAAGGCAACGAUGCAUAGCCGACCUGAGAGGGUGAUCGCCCACACUGGAGCUGAGCCGCGGUCCUGACUCCUACGGGAGGCCGCAGUAGGGAAUCUUCCGCAAUGGGCGAAAGCCUGACGGAGCAACGCCGCGUGAGUGAUGAAGGUCUUCGGAUCGUAAAACUCUGUUAUUAGGGAAGAACAUAUGUGUAAGUAACUGUGCACAUCUUGACGGUACCUAAUCAGAAAGCCACGGCUAACUACGUG